GACGAACGCUGGCGGCGUGCUUAACACAUGCAAGUCGAACGGAAAGGCCCUGCUUUUGUGGGGUGCUCGAGUGGCGAACGGGUGAGUAACACGUGAGUAACCUGCCCUUGACUUUGGGAUAACUUCAGGAAACUGGGGCUAAUACCGGAUAGGAGCUCCUGCUGCAUGGUGGGGGUUGGAAAGUUCCGGCGGUUGGGGAUGGACUCGAGGGUUAUCAGCUUGUUGGGGGGGUAGUGGCAUACAAAGGCUUUGACGGGUAGCCGGCCUGGGAGGGUGACCGGCCUCAAGGGUACUGAGGUAGGCCGCAGUCGGCAACGGGACGCAAUGGGCGAGAGUAUGACGGAGUAGGGCGAAGCGAGAGACAACGGCGCUCCGUGCGUAAUGACGGCCUACUAGGUAAAAACCGAUGUCUCCUUUAACGAAGCGGGAUUGACGGUAAUUGAUAAAAAAGCACCGGCUAACUACGUG
rnacentral:rRNA from 1 species